rnacentral:rRNA from 1 species
UGGGGAAUAUUGCACAAUGGAGGGAACUCUGAUGCAGCGACGCCGCGUGAACGAAGAAGGCUUUCGAGUCGUAAAGUUCUUUUAUAUGGGAAGAUAAUGACGGUACCAUAAUAAAAAGCCCCGGCUAACUACGUGCCAGCAGCCGCGGUAAUACGUAGGGGGCUAGCGUUGUCCGGAAUCACUGGGCGUAAAGGGUUCGCAGGCGGAAAUGCAAGUCAGGUGUAAAAGGCAGUAGCUUAACUACUGUAAGCAUUUGAAACUGCAUAUCUUGAGAAGAGUAGAGGUAAGUGGAAUUUUUAGUGUAGCGGUGAAAUGCGUAGAUAUUAAAAAGAAUACCGGUGGCGAAGGCGACUUACUGGGCUCAUUCUGACGCUGAGGAACGAAAGCGUGGGUAGCAAACAGG